AUGAGGAAGCCUAAAGUAAAAGAGAAACCCGAAAGCAACGCGUGCAAAGUUCAUUUUCGCUUUCUCAGGACAGGCACGAGAGGCAGAAUUACAGAGCAGUCUCACGACCGGCUGCGUCAAAGCCCCUCCGAGCCCCCAGGGGCCUCAGCGCUUCCCUACGACCCCCGCGGGGAGGCAGCGCCAGGUCAGCGAGGUGAGCACAGCCUUCAGCUAGCGAAGAGUUGGUCCGGACGGGACCAACCCGCGAUGGAGAGAGCUAAACGCGGACGGGCCGUGGGCACCCCUCACCCUCCCACAGCCCGGGAAACAGCUUUCGCCAGCACCGCGAGGCGCCACGGCCGCCGCUUCCGCCCCACGGUUCCUCCUCCGGGCCGCCCUCUCCCGGCAUGCGCCGGGCCGGAAGCUGCUGACGACAAUAACAAACAUCGGCGGCGGCUGCGCCUGGGCUCCCGGACCCGCUCUCUCCGGCCGGCCCCGCGCCGCCCGCCCCUCCCUGCCCUCGCCGUCCGCCCGAGCGCAGCGCCCGCCGAGGCGGCCCGCGCUCCCGCCGCGCCGCGGGGCCUGGCCGCGCCGGUAGGGGGGCUCCGCCGCCGCAGGAUGCGCGGGGCCGCCGCCGGACCCUCGGGUGAGUGGCGCCGGGGGGAGGCGAGGGCCCCUCCGCGGCCCCGCUGCGCCUCCUGCCCGCCCGCCGCGGGCGCGGGGAGUCCGGCGGGGGGCUGCCGGCGGGGCUCCUUUACUGGGGAUAUCGCGAGGGGCGGCGGUUCAGGGCUUGGCCGCGGGGUGGGCGGCGGAGCGUUGGGGGCCGGGGGUGGAGCGCGGCCCGGCGCUGGUUGCGGCCCCGGGGCGGCGGGGGAACCCGCGGGGCGGCGGCGCCCGGCAGGCUGCGGGCGGGCCGGGGCGCUCCCUGCCCGCGGUCCGCUGCCAGGGGAGGGCUGCGCGGCGAAGUUACUCCGGGGAAUGACUCAGCCCGUACUUUCGGCCGGGCGCAGCGUGCGGCAGCGCCGUGUUGGCCGGUGCGCUGCCGCCGUUUCCAGUGCUUACUUAUCGCUGCUCCCGAGGAAGCGUGUGCCGAGCUUUCCCCCGUUGUUUUCUCGUUACUGCUUGUGA
rnacentral:lncRNA from 1 species